ACGCAGCAAUGCGUGCCAUACGGCUCAGUAACACGUAGUCAACAUGCCCAGGGGACGUGGAUAACCUCGGGAAACUGAGGAUAAACCGCGAUAGGCCAAGAUUUCUGGAAUGGAUCAUGGCUGAAACCUAUAUGGCCCCUGGAUUGGACUGCGGCCGAUCAGGCUGUUGGUGAGGUAAUGGCCCACCAAACCUGUAACCGGUACGGGCUCUGAGAGGAGGAGCCCGGAGAUGGGCACUGAGACAAGGGCCCAGGCCCUAUGGGGCGCAGCAGGCGCGAAACCUCUGCAAUAGGCGAAAGCUUGACAGGGUUACUCUGAGUGGUGUCCGUUAAGGGCAUCUUUUGACACUUCUAAAAAUAGUGUAGAAUAAGGGGUGGGCAAGUCUGGUGUCAGCCGCCGCGGUAAUACCAGCACCCCGAGUGGUCGGGACGAUUAUUGGGCCUAAAGCAUCCGUAGCCGGUUCUGCAAGUCUCCCGUUAAAUCCACCUGCUCAACAGAUGGGCUGCGGGGGAUACUACAGGGCUAGGAGGCGGGAGAGGCAAGCGGUACUCGGUGGGUAGGGGUAAAAUCCUCUGAUCCACCGAAGACCACCAGUGGCGAAGGCGGCUUGCCAGAACGCGCUCGACGGUGAGGGAUGAAAGCUGGGGGAGCAAACCGGAUUAGAUACCCGGGUAGUCCCAGCUGUAAACGAUGCAGACUCGGUGAUGGGUUGGCUUUGAGCCAACCCAGUGCCGCAGGGAAGCCGUUAAGUCUGCCGCCUGGGGAGUACGGUCGCAAGACUGAAACUUAAAGGAAUUGGCGGGGGAGCACCACAAGGGGUGAAGCAUGCGGUUCAA
rnacentral:rRNA from 1 species